rnacentral:rRNA from 1 species
GAUGAACGCUGGCGGCGUGCCUAACACAUGCAAGUCGAGCGAUUCACUUCGGUGAAGAGCGGCGGACGGGUGAGUAACGCGUGGGUAACCUGCCUCAUACACAUGGAUAACAUACCGAAAGGUAUGCUAAUACAAGAUGAUAUAAGAGAUUCGCAUGGAUUUUUUAUCAAAGCUCCGGCGGUAUGAGAUGGACCCGCGUCUGAUUAGCUAGUUGGUAAGGUAACGGCUUACCAAGGCGACGAUCAGUAGCCGACCUGAGAGGGUGAUCGGCCACAUUGGAACUGAGACACGGUCCAAACUCCUACGGGAGGCAGCAGUGGGGAAUAUUGCACAAUGGGCGAAAGCCUGAUGCAGCAACGCCGCGUGAGCGAUGAAGGCCUUCGGGUCGUAAAGCUCUGUCCUCAAGGAAGAUAAUGACGGUACUUGAGGAGGAAGCCCCGGCUAACUACGUGCCAGCAGCCGCCGUAACAC